UUUUUUUUUUAAACUAUUAGUUAAUUGUUGAAUUCAUAAGCGAAUGGUUAAAUAAAUAAUGUCAGUCAGAACAUCAUGCAGUAUUAUGUUAAUGUACCGAUCGAUCAAUCUGCUUUGAAAGAAUAACCAGUAGAUGAAAAUAUCCAAACCAAACGCUUUUCCUUUAGUCGAGUCUCGAUGAAGAAGAUGUCGUCCGGUGGUUUACAAAGUUUUGACGGCUGAACAUAAAAUGAAUGCGGAACAAUUGCAAUGUUCAGAUGCUUGAAUCUUCUGCUGUUGUUGUGUUUGAUACAUUAUAUCGAAUCCUCUGGAAACACUCCUCGAUCUGUGACGGGGGAACAAGGAGGCAGCGUCACCCUGCCAUGUGAAUUUGAGGACGGAGAGAUUUCAGAUAUUGUUUUAAGUAGAUUUUCAAAAAUUAUCCUUGUUUGUCAUAAUGAAGAAUGUGAGAGUGAAAAUGGCAGAUUAUUGAAAAAAGGAUCAUGUGACGUCAUCAUCAAGGAUCUGAGAUUCACUGACGCUGGGAAAUAUAUUCUGAGACUCUAUUACACUAAUGAUCAGAGAGAACCGAAGCAACAAACCCUGCAGUACCAUCUUCAUAUUCAUGAAUCAAAGGGAAAACCGGACACAGAUGAAGACAAAUCUAAUGAUACUGAAGAAUCUGUAGAGUCUUGGAUUAUUGUGCUGUCUCCUCUCAUUGGAGCUCUGCUGGUUCUGCUGGUUCUGGUUAUAUGUGCUGUCAUCUGGAAACACCAAUGUCGGCACAGGGACACAGAAUAUGAUCUCUACCAAAGAGGGGUCCCAAUGCAAGACAUUGUACAGUAGUCCAGAACAUCUAGAGAUGACACUGGUAACUUGUAAUUUGCCUUCAGAGCCAAAACAUCCACAGAGGGUUCUGUCAACAUGUAUGAAUACACUCAUGAACAUUAGGGAUGGACCUCUGUUCUUCAUGUUGACAGUAUCUGCAGUGGUUCAGAGGGUAACACUGUCUCCUCACAGCAGAAGAUCCUCGGUUCAUCUGAGUCUGAGUCUCUUCUGUGUGGAGUUCACAUGUUCUCCUCGUGUCCGUGUGGGUUUACUGCACACAGUCCAAAGACACACAGGUUAGCUGGACAUGCCAAAUUGACUGUAGGUGUGAUUGUGUGUGUGUGUGUGUGUGUGUGUGUGUGUGUGUGUGUGUGUUAGGGGUGGGAAUCUUUAGGCACCUCACAAUCCGAUCCGAUUCCGAUUCUGAGAGUCACGAUCUGAUUCCACUUUUUUUCUUAUUAAUUAAUUAAUUAGUUUUUUUUAUUUAUUUAAUACAUAGUCUAUAUAAUUAGUACUUUUUAAAUUAGUACUUUUUUUUUUAAAAAAUUACUAGUUUAAAAUUUUUUUAUAAUUUUAAGAUUUUUAAAUAUAGGCUAUCAACAGCUUCAAAACAUAAAAGCAAGUAGUCUAUUAAAUAAUAAUAAGAAGAAUAAGAACAACAAAACAUUACAAGCAAUAAACAAAGAGUGUUUUCAGUAUUUAAGAAUAUCUGAACGUUUUCCAUUGAAAAGCUGUGAGUGAUUUUUCUCUUUCUCAGCUUUACGGUUGUUUGAUUAUUACUGAUAUCAUCAUAGACAUUGGAAGAAUAAGCUGCAUUCACAAUAAUCCACAGAUCUCUUUUGAAAUAUAAGAUGUUUUUGUCCUGUCUGUUUAAUCCCUCAAGACAUCUAACUGAGUUUACAUUAAUUUUGCAUCAUUAAAAGCGUUUCGAGAUGCGAGUACGCUACAUUUAAACACUUAAAGGAACACUCCACUUUUUUUGAAAAUAGGCUCAUUUUCCAACUCCCCUAGAGUUAAACAGUUGAGUUUUACCGUUUUCGAAUCCAUUCGGCCGAUCUCCGGGUCUGGCGGUACCACUUUUAGCAUAGCUUAGCAUAGUUCAUUGAAUCUGAUGAGACCGUUAGCAUCUCGCUCAAAAAUGACCAAAGAGUUUAGAUAUUUUUCCUAUUUAAAACUUGACUCUUCUGUAGUUACAUCGUGUACUAAGACCGACGGAAAAUGAAAAGUUGUGAUUUUCUAGGCCGAUAUAGCUAGGAACUAUACUCUCAUUCCGGCGUAAUAAUCAAGGAACUUUGCUGCCGUACCAUUUACUGUUAGUUCAUCUUGGUGGCUGUUACAGUAAAAACACAGUAAAAGUUUUCUUGAGAAUUCCACAUUUAAUACUCAUUUUAUAUGCAAAGUUGUUAACCCGUCACAUCAGUGGGUGUUUACACUGAAGGGUACACUGUAAAAAAUUAAUGUGAUUUUAACAGUAAAAUAUUGUAAAAACGCUACAGAAAAAAAAUGUAAAUAGGUUAACAGUAAGUUCCCGUACUAUAUACAGGGAAAAACUGUAAAAGCGCUUACCAGACAUUUAAUGUAAUUUUCACAGUAAAAUGCUGUAAAUUUUACAAUUUUUAGAAGUAAAAAAGAACAAAUCAAUGUAUAAAAACUGUAAACUGAAGGAACAUUUUUUAAUAAACUUUUUUAAUAAACUCAAAAACUGUAAACUGAUAUUCCCACAAUUCCCUGUGUGACACUCCACAUUUGAAAGUAUUUUGUUUAAAUAAUCAUGUUUCUUAAUAGUUUUUGUUAUCAGUUAUGUACAUUAGGGUUUUAUGUUACAUCUUCUGUUGUUUAAUGAAUGUUUAUCGCAUUAUGUAAGUGUUGUGGGUUACCAUGAUGGUGUUUUGCGUUUGCGUGAAUGACUCUUUGCACCCUCUUUACAUUAGUAUAUACUUCAGCUCGUGGAAGAUUAUAAGUGCACCUCAGGAAACAUUAUAUGAAAUGAUUUAAAAAUGCAUUUAAUAGCUCCUUUAAGAAGUGAGAUUUAAUAAGAAGAAGGAAAAAAAAAACAUUAACACCUUCAGCUGUUUGGUUUUGGUUUGCGAUUGGACUGAUUGGGGUUCCGCUGGUUCUGGCUCCGAUUAUGCUUGUCAUCAAAAGGUGAAACAUUGAUUUCUGGAUGGGAAGUUGUAUAGGGAGCCCAGAACACCUAGAAACCUCUCAGGUCCUUUUCAUUUUCCUUCAGAGCCAACAGAUCUACAGAGGAUUCUGUCAACACAUUUCUGCAACAUAUAUUUAAUUACAAUACAUAUGAACAUUUGCACUGCACCCCUACACCAAGAUUCUGUUUAACUGUAUCUGCAUUUAGUCAAAGCAAGCUAGAGAAUGGUAACUGAAUAACUGAAUAAUUUAACUAUUUUUAGAUAUUUAGACAGAUACACACACUGCAAAAAAUGCUUCUCUUAGAUUUUUUGUCUUGUUUCCUGUGUCAAACUGUGAAAGACAGUGUGUGUACACAUGUAUAAAUUUUAUAUAUUCAAAAUUGUCUUUUUAAAUAUGUAUAUGUAUGGCCUUUGGAAGAGUCUUAGCUUCUCCUAUAGUGUCUUCAUCAUCAUCAUCAUCAUCAUCAUCUAUUAGAGAUUUUCCUUUCCACUGUUGAUUUUGUGUGUUUAAUAGGUCAUCUGAACUAUUCUUUGUAAGUCUUCCAGUUAAAACUACACAAAUAAAACCACUUUUGUUGGAA